UUUUCACUGGAACCUGCCAAAAAGGGUGA
rnacentral:piRNA from 1 species